GGUGCUUGGGAUCGCACUCAGAGACUCCUGGAUGUUGGGCCGGCCCUAUCAUGGAGCUGCACCUCCCGCCGCCAGUGCUUCCUUCAUCUGCUUUCACCCGUUAGGAGGAUGCUUACCCCGAGAGUAGUCAUUUCACCAUGAGACAGAGGAUCCUGUGGAAGAGAUGGCGUGAUGGACAGGUUAAGGGAGAUGGGUUAAAGCGGACAGCGAGAGCUAAGGUUCAGUGUGAAGACUUUCCUGACACAGGGGCAUGCGCAUAUUUCAGGCCGUGCUCAAGCGACUGAGAUUUGGAUGGCAACUUGCCUUUCUGCCGUUGUGUUAUGGCUACCACUGCAGUCAAGAGAUGGAAAAUGAACUUCUGAUGCGGUCCAAUGAAGUUGGCUUUCAUCAGCAUCAGAACCAUGUAUAGAAAGAAAACAAAAUACAGAUGUAAGAGGAGGGCGGAAGAGAGAACUCAGCAAAAAUACUCGGAAAUCAUGCAGUUGAACCUUGAGGAAAAAACCAACUGUAGGAAAACUGUAGCGCGAAACGUCUAUCAUUAGUGAGCAGGCAGGGGUUUACUUGACUUCAUACCUGUGCUCCUUCCUUUGUUUUGAGUAAAGAAAAAAAACUCAAUAUUUUUGGGAAUUAGAAAAAAGUUUGUUGAAAUAAGAAGAAAAGUGUUUUGGGAACUGUGCCAGUUACUCUUAGUUGCCAACUUGACUGAACUGAGACUCUUGCGAAGGUGAGUGGAUCGCGGCGGUACUACACACCUCGUGGAUUAACCCACUGAUGUUCACAGCUGGACCGGCUGUUUGGACCCACUUUGGUUUUCCAGUUGUUCCUCCCCGGGCUCUGCUUCCCAGCCAGAGCACAGACACGGACUGAGCAGCUUUGCACCCCCGUACUGUUAUGUUUCUGUGUUGGAGCCAGUCCGCCAUGGGCUUGAAAUUCUGAAACCAUGAGUCACACAGGUCUAAACUGUGGGUGUCGGGUGUUUUGUCCAGUGAUAAGAGAACUGAUUAAUGUAGGAAUUAAAAAAUAAAUGCUUGUUGAAGUCUAAGAAGA